rnacentral:rRNA from 1 species
UAAGAGGUCCCGCCUGCCCUGUGACUAUAUGUUUAACGGCCGCGGUAUUUUAACCGCGCGAAGGUAGCGCAAUCACUUGUCUUUUAAAUGAAGACCUGUAUGAAUGGCUCGACGAGGGCUUAACUGUCUCCUCUUUCCGGUCAAUGAAAUUGAUCUCUCCGUGCAGAAGCGGAGAUACCACCAUAAGACGAGAAGACCCUAUGGAGCUUUAGACACUAAAGAAGACCAUGUCACUCACCCCCUGAUACAGGGCAAAACUAGUGGAUACCUUCCCUAAUGUCUUUGGUUGGGGCGACCGCGGAGAACCAAAAAACCCCCGCGUGGAAUGGGCACAUCCGUUCCUUCAACCAAGAGCCACAGCUCUAACUAGCAGUACUUCUGACCACUAAAGAUCCGGCAAAGCCGAUUAACGGACCCAGUUACCCUAGGGAUAACAGCGCAAUCCUCUUCUAGAGUUCAUAUCGACAAGGGGGUUUACGACCUCGAUGUUGGAUCAGGACAUCCUAAUGGUGCAGCCGCUAUUAAGGGUCCGUUUGUUCAACG